UCCGUUAUGGUGUAUCGGCUAGCAUCCGUCGCUUUCAUUAGUUCUUCUGAGCAUUGAUAGCGCCCGACGAGAGCCGGGUUCGACUCCCGGUAACGGAA